AGGUGGAGCUUGGAAGACUACCACUACUAUGACUCCCCCCUCCCCAAUUUCUGUCACUAAGUGAGACCGGGGCGAGGGGAAGAUGUAUAGCAACUUUCCAAGACUGACCUAGCCAGAGCUUGCUGCAAUUAAAAAUAGCAGAGAAAGAGGAAAGAAGAAGGCAACAAGGGAGAGAGAAGAAGCACUUUGGAGGACAGGAUGAGCAUUCAGAAUGAUCUUGACAAGCUGGAGAAUUGGUCUGUAUUCAACAAGACAAGUGCAAAGUCCUUCACUUAGGAAAGAAAAAUCAAAUGCGCAACUACAAAAUGGGGAAUAACUUGCUCGGCCGUAGUAUUGCUGAAAAGGACCUGGGGGUUAGAAUUGGCCACAAAUUGAAUUUGAAUCAAUAAUGUGAUGAAGUUGAGAAAAAGGCGAAUAUCAUUCUGGAUAUAUUAACAGGAGUGUCCUUUGUAAGACACGGGCGGUAACUGUCCCUCUCUACUAGGCACAGGCGAGGCCACAGCUGGCGUGCUGUGUCCAAUUCUGGGUGCCCCAUUAUAAGAAAGAUGUGAACAAAUUGGAGAGAUUCCACAGGAAAACAACAAAAACAAUAAAAGGUUUAGAAAACCUGACCUAUGAGGAAAGGUAAAAAAAGAAUGAGCCUGUUUAGUCCUGAGAAAACAAAACUGGCAACACUCUUCAAAUACGUUAAAGGCAGUAUAAAGAGGACAGUGAUCAAUUAUCCUCCAGGUCCACUGAAGGUAGGAUAAGUAAUGGGCUUAAUCUGCAGGAAGGAAGAUUUAAGUUAGACAUUGGGAAACAAGGUUUCUAACUGAAGGAUAGUUAAGCUCCUGAAUAGACUUCCAGGGAAGGUUGUGGAAUCCUUAUCACUGGAGGAUUUUAAGAACAGGUGAGACAAACACCUGUCAGGGAUGGUCUAGCUAUACACGGCCUUGCCACAGAACAGGAGACUGGAUGACCCAUCAAGUUCCCCUCCAGCCCAACAUUUCUAUUAUUCUAAGGGUAUGUCUACUCUACGAAAUUACGUCGAAUUUAUAGAAGUCGAUUUUUUAGAACAAUUUUACACAGUAGAUUGUGUGUAUCCCCAUUAAGCAUAUUAGUCGGUGGGGUGCAUCCACAGUACCAAGGCUAGCAUUGACUUUCGGAGCAUUGCACUGUGGGUAGCUAUCCCACUGUUCCCACAGUCUCUGCCGCUCAUUAGGUAUUCUGGGUUAAGCUCCCAAUGCCUGAUGGGGCAAAAACAUUGUCGCGGGUGGUUUUGGGUAUGUGUCGUCAGUUGCCCCUCCCUCCGUGAAAGCAAUGGCAGACAAUAGUUUUGCGCCUUUUUUCCAUGCGGGCACCAUACUGCUUUCAGCAGACUGUGCAAUAGGUCUGCAAACCGUCGUCAUCAAACAACCACUUCUGCUGCCACUCUGCUCUCCUGAUGCUAUGAAUCCACCUCACAGGUCCUCUAUAUGACCGUCGUCAUCCACCGUUUCCGCUGCCACUCUGGUCUCCAGCUGGUUUCGCAGGGCCGCUUCCACUGCAACUCUGCUCAGCUGCUCUUGUCUCGCCAUACCACGGCAAGCAUGCAGCCCACUCAGCUGUUGUGUCCUGGCAGCAGACGGUGCAGUAGGUCUGCAAAACUAGUCAUCCAACCACCACUUCCCCUGCAACUCUGCUCUCCUGCAGACACCAUACCACAGCAAGCUUGGAGCCCGCUCAGAUCACCGUGGCAGUUUUGAGCAUUGUAAACACCUCGCACAUCAUCAUGCAGGAUAUGCAGAACUAGAACCUGCAAAAGCAGGAGAGGAGGUGAUGGCAGCGCGGUGACAAGAGUGACGAGGACAUGGACACAGACGUCUCUCAAACCAUGGGCACCGGCAAUUUGGCCACCCUGGUGGCAAUGGGGCAGACUCAUGCCAUGGAAUGCUGAUUCUGGGCCCAGGAAACAAGCACAGACUGGUGGGACCGCAUAGUGUUGCGGGUCUGGAAUGAUUCCCAGUGGCUGCGAAACUUUCACAUGUGUAAGGGCACUUUCAUGGAACUUUGUGACUUGCUUUCCCCUUCCCUGAAGCGCAAGAAUACCAGGAUGAGAGCAGCCCUCACAGUUCACAAGCGAGUGGCGAUAGCCCUCUGGAAGCUUGCAAUGCCAGACAGCUACUGGUCAGUCAGGAAUCAAUUUGGAGUGGGCAAAUCGACUGUGAAGGCUGCUGUGAUCCAAGUAGCUAAUGCAAUCACUGAGCUGCUGCUAUCAAGGAUAGUGACUCUGGGAAAUGUGCAGGUCAUAGUGGAUGGCUCUGCUGCAAUGGGAUUCCCCAAUUGUGGUGGGACGAUAGAUGGAACGCAUAUCCCUAUCUUGGGACCGGAUCACGAAAGCAGCCAGUACGUAAACCGCAAGGGGUACUUUUCAAUGGUGCUGCAAGCACUUGUGGAUCACAAGGGACGUUUCACCAACAUCAACAUGGGAUGGCUGGGAAAGGUACAUGCCGCUUGCAUCUUCAGGAACUCUGGUCUGUGUGAACAGCUGCAGCAAGGGACUUACUUUCCAGAUCAGAAAAUAACUGUUGGGGAUGUUGAAAUGCCAAUAGUUAUCCUUGGGGACCCAGCCUACCCCUUAAUGCCAUGGCUCAUGAAGCUAUACACAGGCACCCUGGACAGUAGUCAGGAGCUGUUCAACUAUAGGCUGAGCAAGUGCAGAAUGGUGAUAGAGUGUGCAUUUGGACGUUUAAAAGCAUGCUGGCGCAGUUUACUGACUUGGUUAGGCCUCAGUGAAACCAAUAUUAAUAGCUCACGUUAAGUGAUCACUCUUGUUACAGUGCGUAUGGUAACACCCAUUGUUUCAUGUUCUCUAUGUAUAUAAAUCUCCCCACUGUAUUUUCCACUGAAUGCAUCCAAUGAAGUGAGCUGUAGCUCACGAAAGCUUAUGCUCAAAUAAAUUUGUUAGUCUAAGGUG